UCAAACCCAGGGUCAGGUCACUGUGGAUACCCUGGGUCGGGUCACUGUGGAUACCUGGGUCGGGGUCACUGUGGAUACCCUGGGUCGGGUCACUGUGGAUACCCGGGGUCGGGUCACUGUGGAUACCCUGGGGUGGGUCACUGUUGGA
rnacentral:lncRNA from 1 species